AUUGAACGCUGGCGGCAUGCCUUACACAUGCAAGUCGAACGGUAACAGGUCUUCGGAUGCUGACGAGUGGCGAACGGGUGAGUAAUACAUCGGAACGUGCCCGAUCGUGGGGUAUAACGAAGCGAAAGCUUUGCUAAUACCGCAUAAGAUCUACGGAUGAAAGCAGGGGACCGCAAGGCCUUGCGCGAACGGAGCGGCCGAUGGCAGAUUAGGUAGUUGGUGGGAUAAAAGCUUACCAAGCCGACGAUCUGUAGCUGGUCUGAGAGGACGACCAGCCACACUGGGACUGAGACACGGCCCAGACUCCUACGGGAGGCAGCAGUGGGGAAUUUUGGACAAUGGGCGCAAGCCUGAUCCAGCCAUGCCGCGUGCAGGAUGAAGGCCUUCGGGUUGUAAACUGCUUUUGUACGGAAAGAAAAGACUCUGGUUAAUACCUGGGGUCCAUGACGGUACCGUAAGAAUAAGCACCGGCUAACUACGUG
rnacentral:rRNA from 1 species